GACGAACGCUGGCGGCGUGCUUAACACAUGCAAGUCGAACGGAAAGGCCCUGCUUUUGUGGGGUGCUCGAGUGGCGAACGGGUGAGUAACACGUGAGUAACCUGCCCUUGACUUUGGGAUAACUUCAGGAAACUGGGGCUAAUACCGGAUAGGAGCUCCUGCUGCAUGGUGGGGGUUGGAAAGUUUCGGCGGUUGGGGAUGGACUCGCGGCUUAUCAGCUUGUUGGUGGGGUAGUGGCUUACCAAGGCUUUGACGGGUAGCCGGCCUGGGAGGGUGACCGGCCACAUUGGGACUGAGGUACGCCCCAGACUCCUACGGGAGGCAGCAGUGGGGAAUAUUGCACAAUGGGCGGAAGCCUGAUGCAGCAACGCCGCGUGCGGGAUGACGGCCUUCGGGUGGUAAACCGCUUUCGCCUGUGACGAAGCGUGAGUGACGGUAAUGGGUAAAGAAGCACCGGCUAACUACGUG
rnacentral:rRNA from 1 species